GAUGUCCCCUGCGCAAGGAUGACAUGCAAAUUCGUGAAGCAUUCUAUAUUUUG
rnacentral:snRNA from 1 species